UACCAGCACCCCGAGUGGUCGGGACGUUUUAUUGGGCCUAAAGCAUCCGUAGCCGGUUCUGCAAGUCCCCCGUUAAAUCCAGCUGCUCAACAGAUGGGCCGCGGAGGAUACUACAGAGCUAGGAGGCAGGAGAGGCAAGCGGUACUCAGUGGGUAGGGGUAAAAUCCGUUGAUCCAUUGAAGACCACCAGUGGCGAAGGCGGCUUGCCAGAAUGCGCUCGACGGUGAGGGAUGAAAGCUGGGGGAGCAAACCGGG
rnacentral:rRNA from 1 species